rnacentral:rRNA from 1 species
UACGUAGGGUGCAAGCGUUGUUCGGAAUUAUUGGGCGUAAAGCGCGUGUAGGCGGUUUGUUAAGUCUGGUGUGAAAGCCCGGGGCUCAACUCCGGAAGUGCACUGGAUACUGGCGAACUAGAGGACGGGAGAGGGAAGUGGAAUUCCUGGUGUAGGGGUGAAAUCCGUAGAUAUCAGGAGGAACAUCGGAAGCGAAGGCGGCUUCCUGGCCCGUUUCUUACGCUCAGACGCGAAAGCGUGGGGAGCAAACAGG